AUGUGCCUCGGGAGGCAGCAGUGGGGAAUAUUGCACAAUGGGGGGAACCCUGAUGCAGCGACGCCGCGUGAGCGAUGAAGUAUUUCGGUAUGUAAAGCUCUAUCAGCAGGGAAGAAAAAAAUGACGGUACCUGAGUAAGAAGCACCGGCUAAAUACGUGCCAGCAGCCGCGGUAAUACGUAUGGUGCAAGCGUUAUCCGGAUUUACUGGGUGUAAAGGGAGCGUAGGCGGCGCGUUAAGUCUGAUGUGAAAACCCGAGGCUCAACCACGGGAGUGCAUUGGAAACUGG
rnacentral:rRNA from 1 species